AGUUUGUGUUGGUUGUGUGAUGUUGGUAGGUUCCUUGUUCUAGUAUACAUGGAGGUAGUUUGUGUUGGUUGUGUGAUGUUGGUAGGUUCGUUGUUCUAGUAUAGAUGGAGGUAGUUUGUGUUGGUUGUGUGAUGUUGGUAGGUUCGUUGUUCUAAUUAAGAUGGAGACAGUUUGUGUUGGUUGUGUGAUGUUGUCAGUAGGUUCCUUGUUCUAAUAUAGAU